CUGUGCUACAUUGAAAGGGUCAAGCUGGAGCCAUUCGUCUCGGAAUAAGCAGAGCUUUGCAAAAUUGGGAACCUGGGCUCCGGUCAUAUCUUAGAUCAACUGGGCUUCUUACCAGAGACCCGCGUGUAGUGGAAAGGAAAAAGCCUGGGAAGGCCAAGGCCAGAAAGAGUUUCCAGUGGGUCAAGCGAUGAAGAAAAGAGUAUGCAGAUUGCCUCGUAUUUAUCUACCUUCAUUUUUCUUUCUCAAUCCAAUUUUGUAGCCAAAGUAUACAAUAUCAUCAUGUCAUAAUAAUUAAAAUGAAAAAGAAAAAGACAUGGUUGUGAUUUGACAUUUUUGUAGUUCUAUCAUUUAAAGGAAAAAGUUUAAGUGCGAGGCUCUAAACAAUUAAA